rnacentral:rRNA from 1 species
UCCUACGGGAGGCAGCAGUAGGGAAUCUUCGGCAAUGGACGAAAGUCUAACCUAGCAACGCCGCGCGAGUGAAGAAGGUUUUCGGAUCGUAAAACUCUGUUGGUAGAGAAGAACGUUGGUGAGAGUGGAAAGCUCAUCAAGUGACGGUAACUACCCAGAAAGGGACGGCUAACUACGUGCCAGCAGCCGCGGUAAU